UGAGCAAUCUGCCCUUCACAUCGGAAUAACCAUUGGAAACGAUGGCUAAUACCGAAUAUGACUUCGGAUCGCAUAAUCUGAAGUGGAAAGCUCCGGCGGUGAAGGAUGAGCUCGCGGCCUAUCAGCUUGUUGGUGAGGUAAGAGCUCACCAAGGCUAAGACGGGUAGCUGGUUGAGAGGAUGAUCACGCCAACUAGUUGGGA
rnacentral:rRNA from 1 species